UUCACAGCACCCCAUUUUCUCCCUCUAAAACUGCCUACAGAGACUACGAAAUAAUAGUAAUUGAUUUCGUUUCAGAAGGUCAAAGAAAUGGAUGGUUCCGAUAAUAAGAGUGUUUCAUCAACUCAUAACAAACGCCUUUCUUUCUCAAAGGUACAGAUGAGAAUGAUCAGAGCUAUCAAGGAAGGAGUUUAAAUGUGCAAAACCCAAAGAAACCACUAACAACAACAGCAACGAAGCAUUUCAUGUCACCAACAAUAUCUGCAGCUUCAAAAGCUAACCCUCCAAGAAGGAAAAUCUUAGCUGAAAGUAAUGGAUCUCUUGAUACCCAUCUCCAAAAGACCCCAACUUUUGGUUCGAAAACCAUUUCCAGCAUUGAAUUUGCUGAAUAUGGGGAAAAUGUUCUUCUUGAUCAUCUGUCGUCAAGGCCUUAUGACCCAUUAACCAGUUACAUCUCUCCAAGGCCUUUUCUCAGAUAUAAGCCUAAUCGUCACCGGGAUAUCUUUCUCCGAAGAGAAAAUGAGGCUAGAGAGGAGACAAGUACUUGUCGUAGGGGUUCUUUAGAAUAAAAAAACGACAAAGAUGUUGAAGAUGAUUUAGGUACUUCUUUGGCUGAUGUGCUACUCAAGAAGAUGAGUGGAAGGGAAAAUGAAGAGAUUUUUAAGGAGGUAGAAGAGGAAAGAUGCUAGAGUUUAAAAGGAGUUCUGAAGAUUUUGCUUUUGUUGGUUGUUUUGGUGCUUUCUACCUCGUAUAUUCCUUCAAUGAAAUCUCCUACACCUUCACCUGUCAUGCAAGCUUUUGGCAACCCCAAGAAUGGUUUUCACAUGGUUCAAGAUCAUGUAUAUGGGUUCGUGAAGGAUAUCUUGAGUCUGGAAAUAGAAACUAUACCUUGGUUCAAAAUGGUGCUGGAAUUGAUGAAGAAGAGAUGAUGGAUUAUGAAGUGAUGGGAGAAGACGAAUACGAUGAUGAGUUGGAUGAAGCUGUAGAGAAACAAAAUGGAGAAAGUGAAGUUUUAAAGAUUGUUGAAGCUGAAGAGAAGGAAACAAUAGAAGGGUUUGGUGAAGGUGGAGAAACUGAGGUUAAGGAGAUUAUAUAUAGAGCAUGAAGAGAAAGGUGAAAUUGCCAAGUUGGGCAGCGUGGUAGAGACACAAGCUGGAGAACAUGCACCUGAAAUGGUGAAAGCAGGAGAGGUGUCUGAUGAAUGAGGUUGCAAUGAAUCAUGAAUUGCAGAUAACAGAACCUACAACAAUGUCUGGAAGUCCAUUCAUAAAUGACGGGGAUUAUUCUCUGGCUAUGCCAUCUAGCAUUCCAGAGAAUUUUGAAAAAGAAAAUGAGGUUGCAAAUGAGCCUGUCACAAAAGAAGUGGUUGAUGGCGGAAUCGGUAGCGGUUGGAAUACCACUGGUGAUCAAGCCGAAUACUGUCAGAUUCACAUAUCUAUUCUUGUGCCGUGGUUGUGUUCUCCACUUUGUUUUUAGUUAUUGCUUGUUUGACGUUGGCUUUUCACUUUAAGAGGAAGAGAAAUGCCCAAAAGGAUUCUUCUCCAGUUGUUCAACCUAGUUUUGAGCCUGUUGUAGUAGAGAAAUGCCUCCCAAUGUUUGCUUCGGAAGCAGAUAAGAACGUGGAGAAUAUUGUGCCAUUUACAAAUUCUGCUAAUUAAUUCAAUGGAAGAAAAAUACAAAGUAACAUACCAAAGACGAGUGUCGAGUGCCAUCAGUUGUGUUUCUUGGUGAAUUUGAGGUGGGAGAGAUCAGCUCUCUUAGGAGCUGUGGUAUGGAAACCAGGAUGACAGAAAGUGAAGUAAUCAGCAUCCGUUCUGUUUCUAUGGAGAAGGGGAUGGUCACCAUGACUCACUCAGUUCCUGUUCAUGUGCAGCCAGCUUUCUCAGAGAUCUCCACCAUGGAUCCCCCUCCUCCUCAUAUGGAAGAUUCACCACUGAGAAGAAAAUCGUGAAGAAGCAGGUCUGGGACAACAUCAGUUCUUUCUUUAAUAUUGUUAGUUGAUUUUUAAUUAAAUGUUUGGCUAUUUCACAUCACAUAUUUUCGCAUGUUGAUUGAACAAGUGCCAACGUUGGAAUAGCUGAAAAGAACAUUGACACUUGCCACCAAUAUAUGGCAUGCAAAUAGAUGCCUGAAAAAUCAUUAAUGCAUUGAUUUUUAUAUAUUUUUAAGAA